rnacentral:misc_RNA from 1 species
CAACAAUAUCUAAUUUUUAUAUGAAUUUGUUUUGAGCAGCUAACAUGUUUCAGACUGAUCAAUUACUUUCCAAGUAAUUGCUUGCCUAUCUACAUUUCCAUGUAUACAUCUCACGCCUAGUUUUUUCUUUUAUUAUAUAGCUAUUAUUAAAAUAUAAAUUUAUGAUCUCAUAAAUAUUAAAAAAGAUUUGGGCCUAGAUGCCUGGACUCGCCUACCCAACCUUCUGCUUGUGGUUCUUAGGGUUUAUUGUAAUGGGACUGGGAUGCUAUUUGGGCUGCUUGUUCUGG